CACGUCGUCCUUCUCCGUCACUCGAGAGCGUUCCCUAAGAAACAGUCUAUCAGCGACUACGGAUGCCUGAUUCUUUAACUUUAUUCGUUAUACUCACUGUUCGAUGAUGCUCGACGAUCCACGUAUCCUAAAAUUAUAACCAGAAGAGGUUCGUCACCCCAUCCUGUUUUUCUGGUACGUGGGGGUGCUACAGGUGGUUGCGCCGAUUUCACAGAGGAUGACGAUACAGGACUUUCCAAAAGAUCAUCGUCUAGUUUCGAAUCUUCUUGUACGAUGUUCUGCGUCGAUCUCCUACCAAGACGAGGCAAAAGCUGAAAAUCAAUAUUUUUCUUUUAACUUAACCGCUCUGUUGUUGCCAACAAUCGAAUACAAGAAAUGUGUACAAUGGACAAGGGUGAAUAUUUAAAAACUUACUUUUUUCGAGAGGCAAAUAAAACCCGUGUUUGCGAGCAGUAACCAUAACAACUGCUGAACUGCUGAACGGCCUGCUGACUCGAGCGGUGAAUCGACUUUGUUCGUUCCUGCAUUCGCCUUGCUCCCCUCUUUCGUUCGGGAAGUAGCGCGAGAAACGUGACUGGAAACGCGCCAGUGGAACGGUCAAAACCGGUUCCAAGUACCCUUUGAUUGGAGCGCGUCUUUUUAAACGACAUAUUAAAAGGAUACUGUUUAGAAAUAAGCUCAAAUCGUAAUACGAAAGGUAUCUUGUAUCAUAGAUAUUGCAUCCUAAAGGAUAGCAGUUUAAUAAUGCUUGGUGUCAUCGAUUUGUCGUUGAUAUUCCUCGUCAUCAGGAUUCGCCUCACACGCGUUGUCAUUGUUUGGUGGUCUUACUCCGUUGUAUCUAUAAUUUCAAUCAUAUUGUAAGUUACACAAAUAAAAAGUACAGUAUUAUCUUAACACUUUGAGGACCGGCUGCUCUGACAACCAUAUAGCUUGAAUUUCCGCAUGUUUUUGGAGCAAUUGAAAAGAACUUUCCGGCAAGCAAUAUUAUAUCUAAUAUAUUGACAACGGUUUCGUAUUAUUCAAACAUGUAAUGUAAAAGUACAUAUAUAGCAUCCACUUAUAGCAUCCAUUGCUUUUUUUACUGUUUUAUUUCACGGUAGUUAAUAUUUUUAUAGGAUACCGCAUGAAGUACGAAAGACGGGAAUUCGCGUCUCCGGUCCCCAAUCGUUGAAAAAUGAAAAAUGCGAAUUCGCCGAGCGUUAAUCGUAGAUAAUAUGCUUGUAAGUGAAAGACCUGGAAAAGUCACCCUUGCAAAGCCUCCAAGGCAGCACGUCAAUUCUCUCGUGCAGUAUAGGUGAUAUCUCAGGACUGACAAAGUAUGGAGUACCAGCACCGGAACCACGGGUCAAGAGCUUCCUCUGAUGGUCAUAGCAACAGUGUUGAGCUGCGGCGCUUCCGCUUCCUUGCGUCAAAAACGAGCGCACGCAAUAUUGUUCGGGUAUAGGCACGGACAGGCGGGUAACGACGCUAGACCACCUGUAACGGCGAGUUCGAGAAACCAGGCACCGUGUUUACAACACUAUGAAUGUCGAGUUCGUACCUAAGAAGACUUGCUCGAGCUUAUCCUUGCUGUCUAGCCACUUCUGACAAGGAUCUUCGUUCGUGCCGUUCACAAAAUCCAGCUCCUUGAAUAUUUUCUGUCCGUCCGCUGCACUAACGUUUCGCAGAUUUUGAAAUAAUUUGCUCACGAUAACGCUUAGGCUAUCGUGGAACAUAACUUGAUCGUCGAUGGCCGGAUGUUUGGUCUAUUGGCGCCGUGCCAUUGUCCCACAGAAAAGACAGCCUGAUCGCAGAUGUAUUUCGAAGACACGUCGAUCGAUUCCUACAGCGACGUCGCUUCCGAUGUUUCGCGUGUCUCGUAGGAAUCGUCUCUUCUU